CAGCAGCCGCGGGAAUACGUAGGGUGCGAGCGUUGUCCGGAAUUAUUGGGCGUAAAGAGCUUGUAGGCGGUCUGUCGCGUCUGCUGUGAAAACCCGAGGCUCAACCUCGGGCCUGCAGUGGGUACGGGCAGACUAGAGUGCGGUAGGGGAGAACGGAACUCCUGGUGUAGCGGUGGAAUGCGCAGAUAUCAGGAAGAACACCGAUGGCGAAGGCAGUUCUCUGGGCCGUAACUGACGCUGAGAAGCGAAAGCGUGGGGAGCGAACAGGAUUAGAUACCCCAGUAGUCCCUGUCUCUUAUAC
rnacentral:rRNA from 1 species